GAUGAAGAACGUAGCGAAAUGCGAUAAGUAAUGUGAAUUGCAGAAUUCAGUGAAUCAUCGAAUCUUUGAACGCACCUUGCGCUCCUUGGCAUUCCGAGGAGCAUGCCUGUUUGAGUGUCAUUAAAUUCUCAAGACCUGUCUGCUUUUUUGAUAGGUAUUGGAUUUUGGGGGUUGCAGGCUGUUUCAAAUAAAUAGCCUUGCUCUCCUUGAAUGUAUUAGUGGAGAAAAGCCAUUGAACUCCAUUGGUGUGAUAAAACCUAUCAAUGCCAGGAGCAAUAUCACUACUUCUCUCUGCUGUCUAACUGUGACUGUCUGUAUUAAUUAGUAUGGAUGGGGACAUCUUGACCAACUUGACCUCAAAUCAGGUAGGACUACCCGCUGAACUUAAGCAUAUCAAUAAGCGGAGGA
rnacentral:misc_RNA from 1 species